rnacentral:snRNA from 1 species
GGCCAUAUACUGUACAUAUACUAAAAUUGGAACGAUACAGAGAAGAUUAGCAUGGCCCCUGCGCAAGGAUGACACGCAAAAAAUUAGACGCAUACUAACAAAGA